rnacentral:misc_RNA from 1 species
AAAGUGAUACCUUUAGCUGUAGCGCCAUAUUUCUUUGCAAGGUACCUAGAACUGCCACCGAUGCCACAUCCAACAUCAACUAUGGACGUUGGUUUCUUCGCUGGAUCUUCAGAAAUAGCAGCAAAACUUAGAGCCUGUUCAAUCAUACGGAUCUGAGCAGCACGAUGAUCUGAAAGUUCCACAGAGGAUUUAGGUUCAUAAUAUCCAUGAUGCAUAUGGUCA